rnacentral:rRNA from 1 species
CCUACGGGGGGCAGCAGUGAGGAAUAUUGGUCAAUGGACGCAAGUCUGAACCAGCCAUGCCGCGUGCAGGAAGACGGCUCUAUGAGUUGUAAACUGCUUUUGUACGAGGGUAAACGCAGAUACGCGUAUCUGUCUGAAAGUAUCGUACGAAUAAGGAUCGGCUAACUCCGUGCCAGCAGCCGCGGUAAUACGGAGGAUUCAAGCGUUAUCCGGAUUUAUUGGGUUUAAAGGGUGCGUAGGCGGUCGGAUAAGUUAGAGGUGAAAUCCCGAGGCUCAACUUCGGAAUUGCCUCUGAUACUGUUCGGCGAGAGAGUAGUUGCGGUAGGCGGAAUGUAUGGUGUAGCGGUGAAAUGCUUAGAGAUCAUACAGAACACCGAUUGCGAAGGCAGCUUACCAAGCUACGACUGACGUUGAGGCACGAAAGCGUGGGGAGCAAACAGGAUUAGAUACCCCAGUAGUC